rnacentral:misc_RNA from 1 species
GAAAUGCGAUAAGUAGUGUGAAUUGCAGAAUUCAGUGAAUCAUCGAAUCUUUGAACGCACAUUGCGCCCUUUGGUAUUCCAAAGGGCAUGCCUGUUCGAGCGUCAUUUGUACCCUCAAGCUUUGCUUGGUGUUGGGCGUCUUGUCUCUAGCUUUGCUGGAGACUCGCCUUAAAGUAAUUGGCAGCCGGCCUACUGGUUUCGGAGCGCAGCACAAGUCGCACUCUCUAUCAUCAAAGGUCUAGCAUCCAUUAAGCCUUUUUUUCAACUUUUGACCUCGGAUCAGGUAGGGAUACCCGCUGAACUUAAGC